rnacentral:rRNA from 1 species
CAGUCGCCGCGGUAAUACGUAGGUGGCAAGCGUUGUCCGGAAUUAUUGGGCGUAAAGGGCUCGCAGGCGGUUUCUUAAGUCUGAUGUGAAAGCCCCCGGCUCAACCGGGGAGGGUCAUUGGAAACUGGGAAACUUGAGUGCAGAAGAGGAGAGUGGAAUUCCACGUGUAGCGGUGAAAUGCGUAGAGAUGUUGAGGAACACCAGUGGCGAAGGCGACUCUCUGGUCUGUAACUGACGCUGAGGAGCGAAAGCGUGGGGAGCGAACAGGAUUAGAUACCCCUGUAGUCCCUGUCUCUUAUAC